UGGAAACACUGGAAGCAGAUUUAAGCUAAAGGUUUCCUGGAUCCUUCUGUUUAUUUAAUGCACUAUUGCUUUGGACUUGUAUGCAUUGUAAAAGGCUACUGCGAGUGUAUGCAUUGUAAAAGGCGACUGCGAGUGUAUGCAUUGUAAAAGGCUACUGCGAGUGUAUGCAUUGUAAAAGGGUACUGCGAUGCUGCAAGGAAGUGCCAAGUAGUUUGUUAAAAAAAGAAAAGAAAGAAAAAAGAGCUUGUCUGGCAGUUUGACACACACAGCUAGGAGGACAGGUUAAAAAUAUAAUUACCCAUGUUUUUGAACCUGCACACCUGGAAUGUACCACAAGAAGUUUAAUGAAAGUCUAUGUUGAUUGAAUAGUCAGUCUACCCAGUACUGUGCACUGGACCUGGAGCUUGUAAAGGGCUCAGUGGAGAGAAAGAGAUGGAGUGUCUAAAGGUUAUUUCAUAAAAAAGGUUAUUUUAUAAUAAAAUGUAUUCAUUAUAAAGACAUUAUAGUCAUUAUAGUAAUUCUAAAAUGCCCAAUUUCCUUCUAAUGCUUUGUCUGUGUUACUGACAAAAAUAACAGAUCACCCUGCCAAGACAGACAAAAAGAGAGAGAUUAUUACCACAGAUUUCAAAGGGGGUGGAUUAGCAAGACAACAGCCACCAAGACAUUUCUUUCUGAAAUACAUCAUGUAGGUUUUGUGAGAGGAAAGGGGAGCGCUUUCCUUUUUUUAUAUAAACAAGUGUGAUCUCAGUUUCCAUUCUUUCCAAUGGAAAAUUGUGAGGGUUUCAUUAAACAUGGACAAUUCCUUAUUUCUGCAGCAACCAGUAAGAAAUACAGCUUUGUUUCAGAUCUGUGCAGACAGCGAUCACAUGUCAAGGAAAAACUCCACUCUGAAACACAUGAAACAUAUUUAUAUUGAAAUUCAUGAUGUGUUUAGUGACUCUGGUGCUAAUUUUUUUGGUUGAUGUAUUUUUGUUAUUCCAGUAAGAAGUUAGCGGUUGUCUGCUGCGCUGAUAUCACAUUACUAGCACAGUGGCAAUAGCGUGUAAUAGGAAAAAAAUUGAAAAAAACUCAAACUUAAGUGAUAAUAGAUUUCACAUUUCAGUGUUAACUCCUAAAAACAAAAGAUUAAGAGCUUCUUUUCUCACUCGCCAUUUACCAGCAAUGUUCAAUGUCAUAUUAAGAGUUCCAGAAUGCAAUGCAGUUUUAUGAAGCAGUUAUGCUGAUUUACGGCAGAGACUCGGCUCAGCUAGAUAGAGUUCUGUAAGAUGAGAAGCAUGAUGGCAUUUUCGGUGGCAUUAGCCUGAAAGGUUUUGUAAGCUGAAAUGUAUUAGAAGAGUGUACAAACGAGGUGAGAGAGCUGGACAGACUAAAGGACUAAGGUGCUGCUGCAUUGGCUGCGUUAGGUAGAGAUUAAUCGAGGACUAAUGCUGCGCUCAUGACCAGGUGGCAACUGGGAAAUUUGCAACUUUCCAGUAGGAAAGAUCUGUUUGAAUGGCUUUCGAGAGUUUUUCGAGAGCUCCCACUUCUCUGACUUGCUAAUUUGUGAUGUCAUUUCAACAUGGCGGUGCACAUAAGGAAAAGUAAGAACAGGAAUUAACAUGAUUUACGUUUUUGAGCAGUCUCUUGAGCUUCAGUUUAUAUUUGAAAUCGCUAAAUACUGGUUGAUACUUUGAUAACUGAAAUGUUAAUUCACUUUUUUGCAAGAUUUUUUUUUAUCAAACUGCCCUAUCCUGUCAUUUUUGGCAAUACCAACAGUGAAUUAUCACAAGCAAUUUCUAAAAUAAAUUAAGCACUAACCAAACAACUCUUUAAUUUCCGUUUUUAUAGACAGUAUACAGUUUUAUGGACAGUAUUCAUUUUAUUUCCGACUUCAGACAGCUGAGUUUGUGUGAAUGCUCUAAUGUGGGAAGUAGGAGGUUCCCAGUUGUCUUGAGCACAGCAUAAAUCUCACUGUUGCCGAAUGGUUGAAUGAAUGUUGAAUUAAUAUUUUGGACUAACCUGUCAAUGAAAGAAUUUUCAACCAAAAAAGUCAUCUCAGAAUUUAAUCAUAAAAUAAAUCUUCUGCAGCACUGAAGACAACAUAUUGAUUAUGCAUAUUGAUAUGCACGUCAUUCAAGGUGGCUUUUGCUGGCAAUAGCGGAGAAUUUUCCAAGUGUGCUCUCCCUUUGUGUGGCCCAGACCUGUAACACUUUUAUGGAGCCGUUUUGAAAUGUAUCAUAUAAACAAAGCACACAUGAGAUGCUUUUGGGAUGCUUAAUUUAAACAUGUAAACCUUGACUUCCACAAAUUAUAUAAUUUGCACUUUUAGAUCUGCAAUAUACUGUCGAGUUUAAACUGCUUAUUUUUAUUACAUUUACAGCAUUUUAUAGACACCUUUAUCCAGAGUGACUUACAGAAGUCCUUUGGAGUCUAUCAAAAACACACCCCCAUCAUGCUAGUUCACUAGGUCAGGGACUAAGAAUAACAUAAAGAACAUUUUAUGAAAUCUGUUCGUUUUAUUAUUGGCAUUAAUUAGAGAAUUCAUUUUUACACUAUUAAAUAUUUUUACUGGCUUAGAAGUGAGUCAAAAUAAAGUCCACUUCUGCCUUUUAUUAUUAGUAGGCAUUUCGUGCUUCCAGCUAUCUGUGCACUUGACCUUAUAUGGAGUUUUGUGGGCAUCACUAAAUGCAAAUGAACUGUGCUGGGAACACAUUUUGUACUUUACAAGUGAUCAACAUAUGUACACGAGUAUGAAGAAAUUCAGCAUAUCCAAAACUUUGGUAAAUCCAGCAGAAGAUAUUAGUUUGGUUUGGCUUAUGUGAACAUUUACACGCAACUUUACUAAAAGACUGAUAAAUGAGGCCUAUUGUUCUUUGCAAAUGCAAAAUAUGACUGUUAAACGAACACAACAGUGUUCUGCUAACGUAAAACAUAUACUUGCUUUUUAAUACAUCCGAUGUAACAGACAAAUAUGUUUUACCAGCAGGAAAAGUUAGCAGUGAAAUAACGCAUGCAUCUAUGAAUUCUGUAUCACAUUUUGCAAGCAAAUACAUGUUCUACAAAUGGCAAUUUAAAAAAAAAAUCAGUUUUUGCAAAUCAUGUUCAUUUCGGCAUGAUAUUUUUACGACUUAUAAAGUUUUUCUCACACGCAGCAACAUUUGCCUCCUCAGCACCAGAUGGCACCAUGUGUCUAUUUACACAUAGUUUGUGAGUAGUGUUUAUAAAACAUAAUGUUCAUAUGUUUAUACGGAUAUAGGUUUUGGAACUAAAUUGACUCCAUACACUUUUCAUUCCAUAAACCACAAUGGACUUGGUCUGACUGUCAAUAAUGGACUUAACCUCUUCUAAAUAGUGAUAAAGCAACAUUCUCUCCAAGCAUACUCCCAAAGAAAAUAUUUGCAGCCGAUAUUUUCAAUUUUCAUUUUGCAUACUUAGCCAGAGACGAGCUUCUGCAUUUAAAGAUUGCAAACUGGCGCAAGUUGAUUUACUAACAGGGUCUACAUAGGACUGCUUCCUUCUUAUGGGCAAAAUAACAUGUCUGUUUUGCAAAUUUACCUUAAUGAAUAUGUAAUUUAGAGUGUUUCUGCCUAUAGAUGCAUUAUACAGGGUAGGAUCUAUGCAAAAAGAUUCAUCUAGCACUCAAAUGUCACUUGCUGCAGCCUGAAAAUCACUUCAGGAAUGGCAAUUAUGUGUGCUAGGAAAUAUGAAUGAAGAGCAGGUAUUAUAAUUGCAUAAGUUAAUUUUGCCAUUUGAAGAAAAAAAAAAAACAACUUUCUGUCAUUAAAAUUAUGUCUGUAUCUCAAAAUAAUACAAAAGCUAAAAUAUUGGUAAAAUAUUUUGCUGCACGUUUACACCUCGCUGCACAUUCACACCUCCAAUGCCAACAGCGUUUAAAGAAAACAAAAAGGUUUUCUUUACAUUUCCUUAUGAAUUAAACAUCCAUAUACUGUAUAUACAGUCUUAUUUUGUGUUCAUAUCCUAUCAUCACUUUUGACAUGUAACAGCUCUGUGGUAUAACUGUUGAGUAAUUAUAAUUACUCCCUCUGCAGGGUCACUGGCCUUUGGUUAGUGCAAUAAAGUCAGUGAAAUGGCCACAAUUAGAAACUAAACACACCAGACUCUCUAGCGAUAGCUAAAAAUCUGACUUGCAAGAAUGGUGAGUGUGUGUAAAGAAUAGGGACGCAAUGAAUAGGAGGCGUACUAUUCUAGUUGAGACCAAUUAUGAACUGGAAUUAUGUAGCUGAGGUUGAGGAACUGUCAGAGCCAGAAUUCACACACCAUACUGACAGUGCUGGCAUUUCUAUCCAUGGGAUUCUUCUAGGGUUUCCCAGUAUUUCAACGCACAUUGUGGUAAGGUUCUUUAAAAAAACAAAAAAAAAAAAAACACCCUUCUGUGUUAGACCAUGCCCACUUCAUGUUUAAAUAAAGAUACAGAGGUGUAGACUAGGAUUAUUUAACAGAUAUUGACACAAACAAAUAAUGGAAAUGUGAUGCAAUAAACUCCUAAUAAAAAAGCAGAACAAAGAGCAAGUCAGCCCGGGAGUUAGCGGGCUAAAAAACUGAAAAUAUUAACUGACUUUACUCGAAAAGUUCGGCUGUAAUCAUGUUAGUCAGAGUAAGCUGGGGAGAGACAGCUUGUCAUAGAUGGCAGACAGCCUGAGUGACUGGGCUAAUUAAAUAUAGUGAGAACAGGCUGUUCAGUUUGCAGUAGUCUUCUGUGUCAGUCCAUGCUGGAGUAGAGAGAGGAAUGAGUGUGUAGCGCAUUAACAUCGCUGAACGUGAAUAGCUCUAGCUAAAUGUAGUCAUCUGGAAUUGAAAUAAGAGGAGGGUGGGGCAUUAAAUCACUGAAAACUGCUUUUGCUGCAAGCUGCUAACACUUGCACCGCCCUUCAAAACAAGGGCCUGCAGCCAAUUCACUAUCAGCAUAGCAAAAACAACAGCUACAUGAGUGGAAACAAAGCCACCCACACACGCUGUGCUGAGUGUUUGAACACAUAUUGGAGAUUAAUUCAGGGAAUCGGACAGCAGCAGUCGCUUACCCUCUGCUCCUGGCAGGACACAAACGUCUGAAAGCCUGGCGCCACUCCGAAUCCCAGCUGAUCAAUGAAAGGCGGCUCGUCCUGAGUGUGGAUCUGCACUUUGAUGCCGGCUUCAAAAGACGUCUCAUCUGGAGAGGAAAAGAAGUGAUUCAGAUAUGAUAGAGAGUGAUCCCCUGUACAUGGUGGAAUUAACGAUUUAGGAUCCUGUUUCUGCUGACGGAUGUGGAAAUGUGCCAGAAAAGCUUGGAGGGGUACAAGACGGCUCUGAGGAAAUCGAUACAGGAACAAAGAUGGCCCGGAGGGACCCUGUUAUGCUCAGUGAUGGUUUCAUCAUGAAGAAAUCGAUGGCAGUGACGCUAUUGACAGGCAGAGUGCUGGGAGUCACAGAUAUUUCUGACAGAGGACUCAAUGAUGUAAUGGCGAGCAAUGUGGUGGGAUAGUCUCACAAGGCGAAAGGUGCACUAUUCAUUUGUCAAUGUCAUGAUGGUGGGAAAGAGCCAACUCCCAUCUCUACGACACUACCUUUCCUUAUCCUCCUUCUCUCUCUUAAUUCACUGAAUUGGCUCUGAGCCACAAUGACUGCUGACUAGUCACAAUGACUACAAUAAAAUCACUUAGGUUGCACAGAUUGAUGUUCCAAUAUCAUGUUUUCACAUCAGAAAUUCUGUCUUAUGUUUCACCAUGGCUUCUGAUGUUGCAAUAUUGUUAUUUAAAAGAUAAUACCUGCUGAAAAGAAUAACUAGACCUAAUGUUUUCACAAUACUGAGUAAAGUACAUUUUAUGUCUUUUUUUUUUUUUGUCUCAGUGCAUGAUAAAUACUGACAAUGUAACGAUUUUAUGGAAAUGUCAUUACUUCGUAUCUUGUGGAAAAAGAGUUUUGCAUAAAGACACUCCAGGAAGCUUUCACUCUUUUCUAUUGUCUCAUGCUAAAACCAAACUGAAACCAAACUGAGUUUAAAACACAGAUUUGAAAAGGACUUGUCAGAGGAGCGACGCUUCCAAGGGACGGUAAGUUAUCGAGUUCUCAGCACCUGUAUAACCUACUGUACAUGUUAUGGUCAUGUGACCUAUUGUUGAUCACUCACACUACAACAAGCACUUAAUGAAUCAACAAUAAUGAAUUGCGUAUUUAAAAUGAGGUGUAUGUAGUAUGCACAGAAUUGUGAAGACACUCCUAUAUAUACGAUUUAUACAAAGAUCACUUAUCCCGUACAAACGAAUCAUAAUUACUACAGACUUCCACCAGCAGCAUUACUUAUGAAACAUGCACUAUAUGGCCAAAAGUAUGUGGACACCUGACCAUCAAGAACCAUUAUAUGUGGUUCUUCCCCAAACUGUUGCCACAAAGUUUGAAGCACACUGGAAUGUCAUUGUAUGCUGCAGCAUUAAGAUUUCCUCUCAAUGGAACUAAGAGACCCAAACCUAUUCCAGUAUGACAAUGUCUCUGUGCAUAAAGUGAGCUCCAUGAUGACAUGGUCUGCCAAGGUUGGAGUGGAAGAACUCGAGUGGCCUGCACAGAGCCCCAUUCAACCCCACUGAACACUUUCAGAAUAAACUUGAAAGCCGACUGUGCGCUAGGUCCUCUCGCAUCUUUCCUGACCUCACUAAUGCUCUUGUGGCUGAAUGAGCACAAAUCUCCACAGCUACAUUCCAAAAUCUAGUGGAAAGCCUUCACAGAAGAUUGGAGGUUAUUAUAACAGCAAAGAAGGGACUAAAUCUGGAAUGGGAUGUUCAACAGGCAUAUACGAGUGUGAUGGCCAGGUAUCCACACAUUUUUAGCCAUAUAGUGCACAGUCUCCUGCUUUAGUGAAAUGAUGCAAUUUUUAAUGCCAUUUCUGUCCUCCUUUAACUUGUUUGCCCCUCUGCAUACCCACUUCAGUCUCAAGGGCAGUAUAUGAUAGUAAUGAAUGAGCAGUAAUGGCACUAAACAGCAAGAUGGGCAUUAAAUUCAUAGACAGUGUGCCAGAAAAAGAGAUACAGCUUGCAUACACACGACUAGGGACCAUGCCUUAAGCCAUAAAAUGAAAGACUGUGAUAAAUACAGUUAUAUGAAUAAUAACAAUACGUUUAUGUCCCCUUCCUGCCAGGGGUAAUGAAGCCAAUCAGAGCUCAUAAUCACGAUGGCAGAAAUGCUUAGGAAUGCACUUUUAAUCAUUUAAAAUCAAUGCAAAGUCUACAGUGCCAAUUAUUCUGCUACUUUAGAUAUUAGCUCCUUGUAAAAGCCAUCUGCAGGACUCUGGUCUCUUCAGAAAUAACGAAUUAGAGGCGUAUCAGUGGAUAAAUUGAUCCCUGUGGACUCCAUGUCUUAGUACUUUUUAAGAGAGAACUUUCACACAAGGUUGUAUUACUUAUUCCUGCAAUGGGUACAGUCUUUAUGCUAACCGCAUUCAUCUGCAGGCAGUGAAUCACAGCCCUAUGACAGCAAAGAAGCUUUAUACUGUGCCAUGAGAAGUCCACAUAAAAUGAUUAAGACGCCAUUCAUUCCAUCUAAAGCUCUAAAUCUUACGUACAUGUGACCAGAAUUAUCAAUGAUGUAAUUAUCCAGAGAUGCUUAAAUGCAGUACUGCUCUCCAUUCUGUGUAAUAGCUAAUUACUUUAGAUAAUAGAAGCCUUAUAAUCCACAUUUAAUUGUACUAUAUGUAAGGAAUAAAACAUGGGGACAUGCUGUUUUAUAUAUAGGAAAAUAAUCAACGACAAAGUGGGGUGAUGUGGACUGACGCAAAGCCUGAAUUUAAGUACUUUACUAUAACAGUAUGUCCCCAAGUGUUUUAUUCCUCUUAUACAACAGUAAUUUGCCAAUGAUUAAAAUGUUUUAUUUAUUAAUGAAUGAUGUGUCUUUUUUUAUCAGUAUAUAGUUUAAUGUUUAAUAUAGACUAAUAUAGCUUAAUGUUUAACAUUUAAUGCUGUGGGGUGUCUGGAAAACUUAUGUUAUAGUAGGUAUACAGUCAUUCCCAACAGUUGUUCCCACUUUUCUCUUGAAUUUUUUAAGACAAAAAAAAAAAAAAAAAGGGCAGUUUUUCAGGUUAGAGCGAAACCAGAAAGUGCAAUGUUCUCUGUCCUGAAGACUCCACCAUGACAGAAAGAUUACUGACUGUUACACAUGUUUGUCACUGGACACCACUUCAAUAAUGUUAAAUAAACAUCUUCUGACAGAAAACUUCACUAUAUGAACAAAUUAUAUGUUUUUCUUUGUUAAAUAACACAUUUUUAAAAUAUGUUUAUUAGACCUAGAUUAUGUAGAACAACCACUAAGUCCAUGUCAAUUAGCUGUUACUAUAGGAAAAAUAAAAUAUUAGAAUGAACUAACUAAUAAUAUAAAUCUGUGCUUUGAAUUACAGUUGGUUACUGUCUGAGUUGCUGUUAUAGAAAUUAAUCAACACCUUCGGACCAAUCAAAAUCAAGACUUCAACAGCAUUAUGGUGUAAUACCGUAUAACAAAUAUAUCAAAACAGACCGGAUGCUUAAUUGCAGAUCUUGUGCUUAAUGCUUAAUGCUUCUUGUAAAACAAAUUGUGUAAAAAAAUUGUGUAAAAUAUUUUAAAAUGUUUGAAUAAAUAGUUUGAACAUUCAAAUAAGUCUCAUGUAAUGGAGGCGAAGGCGGAUGCAUGUGCAGAUUAGAGUUUUAAUGAGAAAACUAACAACACAGACAACAUAAACUUAGACACAGAAAAACAUGAACUAGGAUUUUGAGGCAGAGAACCAUAAAUGGAACAUAAAGAACAUAAUGAAACCACUUAACAGCAACGGAAGACAAAAGCUAGACAAUAAGUGUGGUGCAAGAUGUGACUUAAAUACUAGUGCUCAUUAGUAUAAAUGUGGCACCAGUGCAGGCAGUCAUGGGACAUGAUCGUGUGAGGUGCAGUGGCUGAUGAAAAACAUAGUCAAGCACUGAUUCCGGCAUAACAUGACAAUAAGAUAGAAAAAUGACAAAACACUGCUCAAACAUCUGCUAAAUUCACUGUUAACUACUCAGAAAACCGUCAUAUUGGGUGUGGCCUAAUAUUUUGAAGAGGACACUUGAUUUACACCUUUCUGUUUGGGACUCCCAGCCUCCAAUGCUACUCAAGCAGAACUAAACACAACAGUGCACGUGCAAAGAAUCAGGACUGUUUAACUCAACAUGUGAAAACCUACCUAAUUAUAGCAGGGUAUACACAGACAAACUAAUCAAAGAGUAACACAGAACAGGUGGACACAAUCAGGUAACAAAGCGAGACAGAACUGGAACAGAAAACCAAAAAAAAAAUCAACCAUCACCAUAUGAACUAUGACGUGAAUGGGGAAACUGUGGUGGGAAAAAUAAUAUUCUGGAACUUGGGAGAGUCUCCUCAACCCCUGAGUUCAGCAAGUGAUGUCAAAUCAACAUGGCUGCUCACAGCAUGAACAGUAAACAAACUAUCACUUCUUAACUUUAAAUGAGUUAUGCUGAAUAUGCAGAUAUUUACUUUAGAUCAAUGGACAUACACACAUGCUUGCUUGCUAAAUCUAUAAUGUUCACUAUACAGUUUGCUGUUUCAAGGAGCUAAAUAUCCAUCACUCAUCACACUUGUUGCUAACAAAAGACAAACAAGAAGACGAACAAGAAGGUGUAGCUCAAAUGCAGGUAACAAACCAAUGACAGGACAGAGGCUGUGCAGAAAUGGAACAGAAAACCAAAACAAACUCAAACACGUGGUCUUCAUCGCCAUGGGAACUGUGAUGCAAAUGGGGAAAAUGUGAUGGGGAAAAAUUCCUGGUGACGUUUGUGCUGUAUAUUAUGGCCCACAAAACCAACAUCAACCUGAUGAAAAAACAAUCACAUGUUUAGGUUUAAUACUCUGUGUUAGUAACCAGAAAUGUGACCACACACUGAGCACCUGACCUCCACCCCAGCACCACGCCUGGACUGGACUGGAUUCUACCUCAGCUGUAAUGUGUUUUGCAUUAAAGCUUCUGCCAAAUGAGUACAUGUAAUUGCAUAUAGCGUGGACAAAAAAAAUCCUUCUUCAAACAACAAGCUAAAAUUGUUACAACAGUUGCUUGUAACUUUGCAUAGAGUGGAAAGGGCAAUGCUGCUAAAGGUAGUAGGGAACAUCAUGAAAAUGGAAAUGAAUUAAACAUGGGGCGUGCGCUUCAGCGCAGUAAUUAUGAUGUUUCCUUCAAGCUCAACUGAGCCACAGUCUCAGCACUGAUAGUGCAAGGUACAGGCAAUUUAAAUGAGACAAUCUGUGCAAAGGCCCCUCAGAGACACCAGCAAUCCACAAGGCAGUUGAUCUCGUUUCAACUAUGCAAAGGCUUUGCACUUUUGAAUUAUCCCAUAAUUGAAUUAUGUAGUAUGAAAAAUGAGUAUUGGGAUGCGUGUGCAUGCAUGUGGCUGAGAGCGGGAGAGAGGUCUGAGGUGGGAAAAAAUUUAAAACUAUGAUUCAUGCUGAGCACCAGAAUAUUUCCGUUAAUGGAAAUGUAAUGAAAAUGGCAGUGAAGCAUUAAAAACCCCAACCAGUGAGAGUAAAAAGUUACAAUCUGCAAAGAAUUUGUUUUGUAUUUUCACUGUUUUUAGUCUGACAAACAAACUUUUUAUAUCAACAUAUUACUGCUUACCAAUAUUUAGUGACUUACUUAAUAACUUUAUGAUUAUUGCUUAAGCAUUAGCUGUUGAAUAAAAAUCAUACAGUGUGAUUUUUCUAUAUCUUACGACCAUCUGUUGAUUAUUUACAAUACUACUAAAGUCUAAUAACCCGUGUUCUAUGGAAGGCUUUACAUGCAAGAAUUUAAAUUGGAAAAAACACUUAUUAAUUUUGGAAGGUGUCAUCAAACAUUAGCUGGAAAUUGUUUCAUUUCCUUAUUAUUAGAAAUAAUAAAGAAAAUUCCAAGUGCACAUCUUUAAAAAAGAUGCUUGAAGAGUUUUUUAAAAUUGCCUUACUGCAAAUAUAUUGAAACAACUUGUUUAUAACAUCACAUUAGUAUUGGUCAUUCAUUUAUUUAUUUUUUGCAUUUACUGACAUUUGCCAGCCUGUGUUUUGGACCAGACCACGCUAGAUAUUUCAACAGAAAUAGUACUAACAUUAAAAAGGUCUUCCACUCAACACAUUCAUUCAUUGGUCUUCAGAUCCGGAUCCAGAGCCAAUCCCAGCAUCCCUGGGCACGAGGUGGGUACACACCCUGGAUCCCAGGGCACCAUGCACACAUUUAUCACACUUAGUGAAUAAAUAAUUUAGCCUAGCCAAUCCACCUUCUAUCAUGUUUUUGAGAGGUGGGAGGAAACCACAGAAUCAAGAAAAAACCAUGCAGAUACAGGGAGAAUGCGUCUAAGUGUGCCCAAGAUGAGCACUUUUGCAGUUAUGGCGCAAAUACAGAGUCGGCUUUGGCCAAAAAAUCUAUCUUUUGUUAACCUUGGCUAAACAAAUCUGGAUGUUACAGUAACAAAAUGCCUGUCAUGGAAGACGCAAAUGAUUUUUCAGUAGCUGUAUGAAGAGCUGCUAAGUGGGAAUUCUGAUCUGUGAAAUGGAGAGAAAGGCAGAGCAAAGAGUACUGCCUGAAAAACAUUCUAACCAAUAUAACCUUUUGUUUAUCAAAUAAAUAAUGUUACAUCAGAGUGGCAGGCUGCACAGGUCAAACUCUGCUCUUGCAUGUGUGCUCUCCCAAGACCAAACUAAAGCAAGGCACUCACACUGCAGAGCCCUGCUAUAAUGAUGUGAAACAUGUCGCUGUAUUUGUUCCUAUAACUAUUUAAUUUGUGCUCCGGCCAUCUAUAUUACACAGAUGGAUGAACUUGAAAAGCAUCCAACCUUGUUGGCUGAUCUAACAAAGCAAGUGCUGAAUAAACUCUUGCAGUACUGAAUGAACAUUUCACUGGUGAAUUAUAGCAACCGUUCAUCCAAUAUAUUCUUCAGUGGGGUUACACAAACUUACUGAUGUGGUGUAGGAAACGGUGUGACUUACUGUAAUCUACAAAUGUAUAUGUUACAUACAGUAUGUAAAAUAUGUUAAUGUUUCUAGAAUAAUGACUCUUAAUAUGACACAUGUUUGUACGACGGAUGCUCUGUCUAACCUAAAGGCUAAAAAAAUAAAUUAGAAGUGUUGUUAAUUAACAAAAAAAGGGUUGCCAUUUAACACAGAUAUAAUGCUGUUAUUUAAGAAAGAGUAAAAAUUGAUAUAGUGAAGU